GUGCUCGUUUCGGCAGCACAUAUACUAAAAUUGGAAUGAUACAGAGAAGAUUAGUAUGGCCCCUGCACAAGGAGGAAAUCAGAAAAUCUUUGAAACAAUAGUACAAUUU